GGGGGUGACUGGUUUUGACAGCAAGCAUAGCCGGAAGAUAAGCACGCCGAGUUCUGUGUAUUCGCCUCGUAAAUCGUGAUGCACAACGCCAUUAAACGGCAACGAAAACAAUUAUGCCCUCGCGGCCUAGUAUUAGAUACUACGCUUGAGGUGCUUCCGGAAAAGCCCCGGCAGAAGGCUCGUUCCUGCGAAGUAUAAAAUCAAUCUCUGCUCCUUGGCGAUUCGCUUUCGGUCGCCGGAGGUACAACAGGAAGAUAAGGAAAAGAUACAGGCCGUCUUUCGCCUACCCUUUUCUCGAAAACCCAACGAAAGACUAAGCGUGUAGAAAGUUUUUCAACUACUUGUUUGGACGGCGGUUCGAUUCCGCCCACUUCCACAG
rnacentral:tmRNA from 1 species